rnacentral:rRNA from 1 species
GACCUGACGAGAGGUUGACUUUCUUUUCUUUCUUUUAAAUUGAUAUAAAAAUAAAAAAGUUUUUGUUUUCUAGUAGGACGACAAGACCCUAAAACCUUAAUUUCAAAAUUUUACUGGGGUAGUAAUUUAUAUAAUUUAUUAAACUUCAACUCUUUGAGAGAUGGGAUCUACCAAUAUUAAUUUAUCUAAAAAGGUACUUUAGGGAUAACAGCAUAAUUUUCAUUUAGAGCCCUAAUCGAUUUGAAAGAUUAUGACCUCGAUGUUGAAUUGGGUUUCCUAAUUAGAGCAACAUUUAAUUAUGUAAGCCUGUUCGGCUUUUAAUAACCCACGUGAUCUGAUUCAGACCGGA